CAGGCGGGCGGGCCUGGGUCUCGGCCCCGCCUGGGUGAACCGGCUUGGGAGGGAGCCAGCCGCCAGGCGUGUGGGUGCGCGCGUUUACGGGAGUGUCACCGAGAGAGAACCAGCCAGGGGGCGGGGUCUUUCAUUCCCCCAUUUCUCUUGUAACUGAAUGGAAUCUUUCAUUCAGAGGUCUCUGGAUAUUCUGGGUCUAUUAGAAUGUAGGGACCAAAUAUAAGGAUUUCUCGAGUGCAUUGACUGACUCUUCUAGGACCUGGAUAUCUGUGUGCAUGGCUUGUUGUAGAAGCUUAAAAUGAUUAAUUCCCUGUAAGGCAAUGGUUCCGGUCCCUAUGCCGGCUGCUAUGCCCCCCACUGUUAUCCCUCCUAAUAAUAGGGCCACGGUAAAGGAUAUUGGCUCCCUCUUAUAUCGGGUUGAUUUCCCUAAUACGCUGUAAACAUAUUCAGGUUGGUGAUAGUUUUUACUUUGAGUCUAAUUUUAAAGAUGGCCCCCCUGAUCUGGUCCCGACAGGUACCAGCGAAGGCCCCAAGCAUAUCCCUUCUGUCAUUUUGUUGCUUUCUUACCCUCAUCCGUAAAGGAAAUAAGGAGAGGCAUAGAGGAGAGGCAUAGAGGUGGUACCGGUGGAGCCCUUUUGCCAUCCUCUGGUUACCUGAAUCUUGUCCCAUGAGAAUGAAGGCUUCCAGUGAGCAUCCCCUGUCGUUUCGCAUCCCCUGUCUUUUCGCAUCCCCAUGCAAGGGAGUUCCUUUUGACUUAGCAUUUUAACCAGGGAAAAUGGACGGCGAAAUUCUUUUCCAAACUGCUUCCUGCUGACUUUGGGACGAAGUUAGGGACCCCAGAAGGUUGAAAUGCUAGUCAAAAGCAAAAAGGAAUUUAGGCAAUGGGGAAUCCAUCAGGGGCUUCUGGUUAGCAGCCAUUGUUGCAGAGACAGGGAGUGUCCAUAUCAGCUGGACUGUUUCACAUCCACAGCAAGUCCAGGGCUCGUAGUCUAUUUAGAACAGCCUGUAGUCCGCAACUGAUACUCAGAUGUCUGUCAGAAGCAGAAACCUGUUUAAGACAUAUUUAAACUAGGAACAGAGGUUAAAACUUAUUUAUUGAAGCCCAUAGUGCAGAAAAAGCAGAUAUCUGGAUAUCUGUUCAAACAGCAAGAACAUAUUUAUAACUUUGAGUCCUAGCAAAAACUACAGAUUUGGGCUAUAAACAUGUACAUUUCUCCUCUGUCCAGAGAGCCAGGUAUGGAUUGGACAGAGGUGCCUUUGGCCUGAUGAAAAGCCCUUUAAGUUUGUACUUAGAUGACAACCAAAAUAAAUUUUAAAAUUUUGAGCUCAUGCCUGAACAGUAUAUAGUCAUUAUUUUAUCAAUUAACAUACUGACUAGUCUAUAGUGGAUCUAACUGUCUGAUGCUGUCAAGCUGACAACCAGUAAUAUUUCAGAGAUCUGAGAAGGGUAUAUUUUAUCCGAAUCUAUUAAAAAGUGACAGAAGCCAGUUUAUAUACAGUUAGCCAAACCUAAGUUUCUCCAUCACCGUUGGAGGCAGCUGUCUCAAAGAACAGCAAUCUUCGCCAGGCCUAUAUUGUGAGAGUUUUUUUCCUCUCUGUGGAAGAGGGACAUGGAAAAGACUGACCUUGUUUUGUCUAGGCAAAGGGGUACAAUCAAUUUUCCAGUGUCCAGCAGCUUCGUCCACAGUCUCGGCCAGGUUCUGGCAGGCGGCAGGUUUCAUAUCUGAGCAUCUCGCUCAUUGGUCCAGGUGCAGGAACUGAGAUGCCUGUAAUCUUCGGGUCAUUGUCAGGAUCUGGCAGUCUGUCUGACAUUAUAAACUUUAAAGAUAACAAUUUAAAUGCCAUAUUCUGAAGAUCUCUGAAGCAUUAGAGGUCUGUUUGUCUGUUUUAAUUACUUGCCUUAAGCACACAUUAAGUAUACAGGUGGCUAGGUAAGGUCUUAUUUCUGUAAAUAAUUUUUAGUCUGACUGUAACUGGUUUUAACUUAGUAAGAUGUUUGAAACAGCACAGCUGAACUUAAAACUGCAUAGAGCUACCUUAUAUUCCUUAAACAGUAGCUUAACUUCUUUCUUAGGCAGGGUUUUUCUGUGACUUUGGAGCCUGUCCUGGAAUUCGAUCUGCCGGACCAGGCAGGCCUUGAACUCAUAAAGAUCCAUCUGCCUCUUACUCCCGAGUGGUGGGACUAAAGGCGUGUGUCAUCAAUGUUCUAAACUUAAGGCGUGUGCUACCUACACCCUGAGCUUAAAGGUGUGUGUUACCAACAUCCUAAACUUAUUUCUAAAAUAUAAACUGUAAUAUCUUAUAAUAGAUCAGCAUCUUUCAUAAAACAAAAACUUUACAUUGUCAGGCUUUGCUCAAAAAUAAUUCUAAAUUGAAGCUCUUUAAGUACAAACAUUAAUAAAAACAAACAUUAAAAAAACUGGUUUUUUUUUUAAAAGAAAUUUAAAUUCCCUUAAGGUCUUUCUGUAAUAUAUAGAAGCAUUAACAUUUUAAAUCUUAACUGAAAAACUUGUUUCUAAGAUGGUAUCUCUAAUUUCCAUGCGGUCAUCUUUAGUCAAGAUGGUGGUUUAAGUAUUUUUUUUUUUUAAUUUUAGCAAAAUGGCGACCAGUCAAGUCAUGUGAACAUUUUGCCAUGUGCUGGCUACCGGGAAACAGAACAUUUUAAAACAAGUAUAUAUAAUUUACUUGAGAAAUAAACAGGACCUUUUAAAACAGAAUUAGCUUAAUAUGAUUAAACAUGAGAAACCAUAGCAUAGUUUAUAUUUUUCUCUGACUUAUAACAACCCUUUUUUUUCUGACUUUUAACAACCUUUUUUUUUUGACCUUUUACAACUUGCUUUAACCCUCUAUUACUUUCUGUAACAAUCUUCUCUGCUAUGACUUGCUUUAACCCUCUAUAACCUUUUAGUUCAUUUCUCUGACUCUCUUAGACAUUUUUAGACAAGUUUUCUUUUUUUCUUUCUUUCUUUAUUAUUUAAGUUUCUUAUAUUUUUUUUUCUUCUCAGUCAACAUAAAAAUUUUAUUAAACUCUUUUUACAGUUCUUAAUAACUUUAAGGCCGUUUAGAUGUCCUGGCGGGGGCUCCUCAGUCAAUUCUCCCGGGGGGAGUACCUCAGGUGUCUUCUCUUUUACCUGAAAUAUAGUUUGGGGGGUCAAAGGCUGGCCAUUCUGAGGAACAAAGAGUAAUCCAUUUGCGUUUAUGCACAUCAACUACAAAACAAAGACCAAACAACACAGAACAGGCUUUCGCAGUGCGGUUUCGACAGAGAGUCGAAAGUAAGAAUUGAGAGGGGGGUCGAAGAAGGGGGCCCUCCUUCUUCGUCCCCAGUAAAGAUUGCAAAUCCCUCAAGCCGAGGGCCUUCUCCAAAGAGACUGGGAAGAUGUCCAGUCAUAAAUCUCAGCUCAAAACCAAAAGUACAAAGGUGAGCCCACUAAGGCCUCAAUCGCUACCAGGACGUCUCCUGGAGCCGAGGUCGGGAGUCCGAACCCGUCAGUUCCUCCCCGGAGCCGCCAAAUACAAUUGUACGCAGCUGGGUACUACACAAACGCAGGCGCAGUUCAUAAGACGGAUUCAGACAGACAGACAAGACACAAGACAGCGGAUCCGCACAACGCUUACCUCCCAGACGUGGGUCGGUGGUCCCUGGGCGGGUCUCGAUCCCGGACCGAGCCCCCAAAUGAAAGACCUCAGAAGAGGUACUUUCGUAGAAGGAGACCCGCACCCAGGAAUCGGCGAAACCACGAACUUUGGAUGCAAAAGCAAGAGGUUUUAUUGAUGGCGAGCUUACCCGGGGGCUUAGCUUUUGUUAGGCCAAGCCCCGAGCCAAGGGAGAGGGGUCCUUAUAUAGCUAAAAGCACAGUGCAGAAACGAAAAGCAUAGUUACAGGGAUUCUAUUGGACAAUUUAAUGAGGUACAGAGUUAUUUUAGGUCAGUAUAUUCUCAAGGUCUGCACCUGGUACAACAGACCCAAUUCCCCCCUCCGCGUCCAGAUGGCUGACCUUGGGACGGAGGUUCCCC
rnacentral:lncRNA from 1 species